AUUCAUAUAUAUUCAAUUUGCACCAUCUAUUGUUUUGUUCUACAGUCAAAACUGCCCAAGACCUUAUCCCUUUUUUUCCAUCUUUCCCAAGGAGUAAGCAUGUCUUGCGAGCAGUAUCAUUUUUGAUCAUUUCCUUUNNNNNNNAAAAAUGGAUAUGAAAUUCACUCAUCUUCACUUUUAAAUGAACCAUUUGGACAUCGAUACAGGAUAAAAUUGACUAGUGCAAAGGCAAUGAUCUAAAAUGAUACUGCUCGCAAGA
rnacentral:misc_RNA from 1 species